GAAAUGCGAUAAGUAAUGUGAAUUGCAGACUUCAGUGAAUCAUCGAAUCUUUGAACGCACAUUGCGCCCGCGAGUAUUCUCGCGGGCAUGCCUGUUCGAGCGUCAUUUCAACCAUCAAGCCCCCGGCUUGUGUUGGGGACCUGCGGCUGCCCGCAGGCCCUGAAAUCCAGUGGCGGGCUCGCUGUCGCACCGAGCGUAGUAGCAUACUUCUCGCUCCGGGAGCGCGGCGGGCGCCUGCCGUAAAACCCCCUACAUACCAAAGGUUGACCUCGGAUCAGGUAGGAAUACCCGCUGAACUUAA
rnacentral:misc_RNA from 1 species